CUGAGCCCCUCGGAGUCAGGAACCUGCGCCUGCCUCUCCUGCCCAGUGCAGUGCAGGCCGCCGAGUUUUGGAUAAGGAGUGGACCCUGAUCUCAGCCGCUCCCCCGUUUACCGGCCAGGUGACACUGGGUCCUGAUGGACAGCACCCCGCAGGACCCUCGUCUCCACUCUUCCGACGCUAGCUGGCCCUUACCAAGGGCCGUGCUGUGCACUGGGUUUUGGGAUUUCUGUGCGUUACCUCAUCCGUCCCCAUGACAGUCUGAUGGAGAGAAAGGCGGUGUUCGUGUUACUGACCAGGCUUUGGGGCCCAGAGAGGCUCACAGAUACAGCACCUGGGGUGUCCGGGGUAACGCCUGGCAUCGUGCUGUGGCCUUGCUAGACAAAGAGGACACAGCGGCCGAGGGCCUGGCUGUGGCUGAUGCCGAACCAUCCCCCUGGUAGCCACGGGUAGCUCAGGAGAAGGGGCUUCUCAGAACCUUGGGAAGGAAGCUGUCCCCCAGGGGUGGCAUUUUCCAGCAUGACAUGUCAGAGGUGGGGUGUUCAGGACAGCGCAGUGGGGCCGUUACCAGAGUGGCACGGGAACAUUUAAAACCCAAAGUACAAAUAAAAGUAUAGAUAAAUUAAAGACAAAGUAUAUAGAAGAUACAGGAGAUGGGUCUUUUGCAAAUGGGAAGGGGACUGAGAGACAGGGGAGCGGGGAACGGGGGAAGGGGGAAGGGGAUGUGGAAAGAAUGAGCAUGUGCUGUGCACCUGUGCCAGCGCCCCACGAUGACUGUAAUCGUUACGAACUACAAACAUCCACUAAGAAAAAUUUAAAAAUUAAAAAAGUAUGAUGGAUAUGCUAACUACCCUGAUUUGAUGAUAUGCAUUAUAUACACGUCCUGAAGGGUCACACCGUGUCCUGUGAGUGCGUAUCAGUUAUUAUGUAUUAGUUUAAAAAAUAAAUUAAAAAUGUAAGGUCUUCUGUAAAAGUAAAAAAAAUGGUUGUUAGAACGAACGGAGGAAGUCAGCAAAACGACGUAAGGGGGAGAGGCUGGCCAGGUGGUUUCCGUGGAUUUUAAAAUUGGCCAAGGCAAUGAUGGUUAGAAGGGAAAAACGGGGGCCGGCGCAGCGGUGUUAGUGCUUCGAUGUUUUGCCGACAGAGUCGCGAGGGCGGGUCGGCCUCUGUGCGCGUGCGUGUGCGUGCGCAUGCGUCCCUGUUGGGAGUCACCGGCUCGCGCUGGCUCAUGUUCCUGAGGUUUUAGGAAAAGUGGUGCCGUUGGGGAAAGUCGAGGUUUCUCGAGGGAGCUGGAGAGAGACCCUGCCCUGCGACCUGCGAGGACCGAGUAAGGACGGUGUCUGGGCCAGGCAGGGUGGAGAGCGCGGUCCCCACCUCCUCCGACCACGAGAAGCGGGAGAGGAAGCAUCCCUGGACGAGCCUGACCCUCUCGUUUCCCGGAAGUGUGUUCCUGAGGAAAGAAGGGACUCCUCCAAGGAGGGCGCUGGGGAGAACACCGUUGGGAGGCCUUGCAAUUGUGAACGAGGGAAACUGGCGAAGCGUGGGCCGGGCGUGAACUCAGAAGUGGUGCGCGAUUGUUAGGCACAGCCGCCCUCCGAAGCAGGAGGUACCGUAAAAACCGUAUACAGAAGAGGAAACUCGGUGUUUUCAUCUGGAGAUGCAGAGCGAGAGGGAAGCAGGACAGAAGACUCUAUAACGGAAGAUGACAAGAGGAGAAACUAUGGAGGAGUGUAUGUUGGCCUACCCGCUGAAGCUGUUGACAUGGUGUCCAGUCAAACAAAGACUGUACGAAAAAAUUAGAGGAAACUAGCACCAUGACCCAAUAAACAAGAGUUUGCUCAUCGAAUCAGAAGGACUCUGGCUCCAGCGGCACUGUAACGCGCACAGACAUUUCCGAGGCAGUUCAAACAGCUGUCCCCCCACCUGCGCCCCAGUCCUAAGGCCUCGGUGAGCCACGGCGCAGGUUCUUUGUGUUGUAACGGAAGGAAGUUUGCUGGCGAUGCGCCGAUUCUGACGGAAUGUGUCGUCCCCCGGAAGGAGGAGCGACGUCCGGUCCGCUCUGUCGGGUCCGCUCCGCCCGGUCCGCUCCGCCCGCCCGCCCGCAGCCCGGCCUCGGCGCUCACGGCCAUUCACCCGAGCUCAUGGUGUUGUCUUUGGCCGGAUACUCUUUUGAUAGUUUUUAUAUAACAAAGUCCUUACUCUGUGUAUAACCUAAGAUAAUAAGGACACUCUAAAUGAAUUACCUGCAGUAAUAUAUCUGCCUUUUAUCUUUCACCAUUUCUACAUUAAUUUUUAGCUGUAAAAUUGGUAGCUGGAUUCUUACUCCCCCUCCCCCUUUUUUUUUACUGUUUGUUUUUCAAAUUUUAUUUAAAUGUCAGAGAAUUUCCACUAUUAGGAAUGAUGUAUCAUGUUGCAAUAUUUACACGUAAACCUGUUAAAUUUGCAGUUUGUGUGCUCUAAACACAUGUUGAUGAAAUCCCUGUUUUGUUUGGCCAAAGGCUUAUGUAGCUGCAAAUAUCCCAUAGCUGGUGAGUCGUUCAUUCUCCCUUGUGUAGUCCUGGUAUCUCUUCAUGUUAACUCUGUACUAUUUUCAAGGUCUUAAGGUAGAUGGGGUUCGUGGGAUAUCUGGAAAGUUCUCAGUUUGCUGAUGACAUGUAUAUCUGUUUACCAUUGCAAUGAAAAUUACUCAGUUUACCAAUAUAUUUCAACAUUUAAACAUUUU